GGUGACUCAGUGGUAGAGUGCUUGCUUUCCAUGCAUGAGGCCCUGGGUUCAAUUCCUCAGCACCA
rnacentral:tRNA from 1 species